UACGAAGGGGGCUAGCGUUGCUCGGAAUUACUGGGCGUAAAGCGCACGUAGGCGGUCUUUUAAGUCCGCUCUGAAAGCCCGGGGCUCAACCCCGGGAGGCGGGCGGAUACUGUCGGGCUAGAGUCCGGAAGAGGCGAGUGGAAUUCCUGGUGUAGCGGUGAAAUGCGCAGAUAUCAGGAGGAACACCGAUGGCGAAGGCAGCUCGCUGGGACGGUACUGACGCUGAGGCGCGAAAGCGUGGGGAGCAAACAGG
rnacentral:rRNA from 1 species